rnacentral:rRNA from 1 species
AGCAGUAGCCGCGGGAAUACGUAGGUGGCAAGCGUUGUCCGGAAUUAUUGGGCGUAAAGGGCUCGCAGGCGGUUUCUUAAGUCUGAUGUGAAAGCCCCCGGCUCAACCGGGGAGGGUCAUUGGAAACUGGGAAACUUGAGUGCAGAAGAGGAGAGUGGAAUUCCACGUGUAGCGGUGAAAUGCGUAGAGAUGUGGAGGAACACCAGUGGCGAAGGCGACUCUCUGGUCUGUAACUGACGCUGAGGAGCGAAAGCGUGGGGGGCGAACAGGAUUAGAUACCCCCGUAGUCCCUGUCUCUUAUAC